ACAACAAGUCAAGAACAGCAUGCACAUAAUUUACAGUUUAUCUCUCACUAACUCAUUAUUUAUUUUACUUGUUAUAUUCUGCUUACUGAAGGGAUUUUUGAAGGUGUUCUUGUGAUUUAUUUACCAGAACAAAGUUCUGUAUCAGUCUUCUCUUCCCAACUAAAUUGUAUAAUGCUUGAUACUUUAAAAAGUUUCUCUUCUAUUGCCCAAGAUCCCUAGUAUGAUACUAAACAAUGAUAGGUGGAUAGGGCAUACGCAAAAAUAAUGCUGAAGAUUUUAAUACGCAUAAGUACACAGCAUAAGUACAUAGUUUCUACUAGUUGCUUUAAUGAAUAAAGCUAUGUUACAGAUUCUAGCUCAUCUCCUGGAUCCCACAUAAGACAUGGUGACCAUAUGUUCCAGUUUGCGCAAAACAGGUUUGCACCUGUUAUCCUGGCAUAAUCGUUAAUAGUGCUCCCUUGGCACUCUCAAAAAUGUACUGGUUUGGACAAUAAAUUAUACAAUGACCUUAUUGAUCAGCUGCCCCCCAGGGGCUUCCCAGUAAUUUCCAAUGUACAAAAAGUAAUUUUGCCUUAACAGUGAAGGAAAGCUUUAUGGCAAAAGACAACCACAAAGUACAAAGUUAAAAUUACAUUAACUACUUACUAUUUCCUAUGUAAGAUGGUUUAUCUCUAUGUAAAUGUGAGCCAACUCUGCCCUCUGCUGUCUUAUGACAGUAUUAUGACACUGUUUCAGCUUCAUUGAUUGAAGCUGAUUGUGUUAGUCGUGCUGACUACCUUAGAUUGUGG
rnacentral:lncRNA from 1 species